rnacentral:rRNA from 1 species
GCCCCUUCGGGGGUACACGAGCGGCGAACGGGUGAGUAACACGUGAGCAACCUACCCUCAACUUUGGGAUAAGCCUCGGAAACGGGGUCUAAUACCGGAUAAUACUGACCGUCUCCUGGUGGUUGGUUGAAAGUUCUGGCGGUUGGGGAUGGGCUCGCGGCCUAUCAGCUUGUUGGUGGGGUAAUGGCCUACCAAGGCGUCGACGGGUAGCCGGCCUGAGAGGGCGACCGGCCACACUGGGACUGAGACACGGCCCAGACUCCUACGGGAGGCAGCAGUGGGGAAUAUUGCGCAAUGGACGAAAGUCUGACGCAGCAACGCCGCGUGAGGGAUGACGGCCUUCGGGUUGUAAACCUCUUUCAGCAGGGACGAAGCGAGAGUGACGGUACCUGCAGAAGAAGGACCGGCCAACUACGUGCCAGCAGCCGCGGUAAUACGUAGGGUCCGAGCGUUGUCCGGAAUUAUUGGGCGUAAAGGGCUCGUAGGCGGUUCGUCACGUCGGGAGUGAAAACUCGGGGCUUAACCCCGAGCCUGCUUCCGAUACGGGCAGACUAGAGGUAGGCAGGGGAGAGCGGAACUCCUGGUGUAGCGGUGGAAUGCGCAGAUAUCAGGAAGAACACCGGUGGCGAAGGCGGCUCUCUGGGCCUUACCUGACGCUGAGGAGCGAAAGCGUGGGUAGCGAACAGGAUUAGAUACCCUGGUAGUCCACGCCGUAAACGUUGGGCGCUAGGUGUGGGGG